rnacentral:rRNA from 1 species
UUGAGGGGUUAAGGCUCCCAGUAGACGACUGGGUUGAUAGGCCGGAUGUGGAAGCCCUGUAAGGGGUGGAGCUGACCGGUACUAAUAGGCCGAGGGCUUGUCCUCAGUUG